UACAAAGUAAGUACCGGGUAUAUACAAAGUAAAUACCAGGUAAGUACCAGGUAUAUACAAAGUAAGUACUUAGUAAGUACCUGGUACAUACAGGUAAGUACUAGGUGUAUGCAAAGUAAGUAAAAUGUAAGUACUUAGUAAGUACCAGGUAUAUAAAAAGUAAGUACCAGGUAAGUACUUAAUAAGCCCCAGGUACAUACAAAGUACCAGGUAAGUACCAGGUGUACACAAAGUAAGUACUUAGUAAGUACCAGGUAUAUACAGGUAAGUACUAGGUAUAUACAAAGUAAGUAAAAGGUAAGUACUUUGUAAGUACCAGGUACAGUAUAUACAAAGUAAGUACUGGGUAUAUACAAAGUAAGUACCAGGUAAGGACUUAGUAAGUCCCAGGUAUAUACAAAGUACCAGGUAAGUACCAGGUAUAUACAAAGUAAGUACUUAGUAAGUACCAGGUUUACACAGAUAAGUACUAGGUAUAUACAAAGUAAGUACCAGGUAAGUACUUAGUAAGUACCAGGUAUAUGCAAAGUAAUUAUCAGGUAUGUACUUGGUAAGUACCAGUUAUAUACAAAGUAAGUACCUGGUAUGUACUUGGUAAGUACCAGGUAUGUACAAAGUACCAGGUAAGUACUUAGUAUGUACCAGGUAUAUACAAUGUAAGUACCAGGUAUGUACUUGGUAAGUAUCAGAUAUGUACAAGGUAAGUACCAGGUAUAUACUAAGUAAGUACCAGGUAAAUACUUAGUAAGUACCAGGUAUAUACUUUGUAAGUACCAGGUAUGCACAACGUAAGUACCAGGUAAAUACAAAGUGAGUUUUAACUGUUUUAAAUAUUUUACUCAAUUCAACCUAAUUAGCUUAUAAUCGAUUUAUCAGUUCAAUAAAAUUUGAGAAGAAAGGACAACAUGAAAAUAUUACCAAAGUGGGGUGAAAUCCUUUGCAACACACUGUACUGCCUGUUUGUUUGUCUGUUAGUAAAAUAUCUCAUGGACUACUGCACAGACUUUAAUGCAACUGACAGGAAGUAA